rnacentral:rRNA from 1 species
CUAGCCGUAAACGAUGGGUACUAGGUGUAGGGGGUAUCGACCCCCCCUGUGCCGGAGUUAACGCAAUAAGUACCCCGCCUGGGGACUACGGUCGCAAGACUGAAACUCAAAGGAAUUGAC